UAGUCCACACCGUAAACGAUGGGCACUAGAUGUGGGGAGUGUCGACUCUCUCCGUGUCGCAGCUAACGCAUUAAGUGCCCCGCCUGGGGAGUACGGCCGCAAGGCUGAAACUCAAAGGAAUUAACGGGGGCCCGCACAAGCGGUGGAGCAUGUGGUUUAAUUCGAUGCAACGCGAAGAACCUUACCGGGGUUUGACAUGUACAGGACAGGUGUAGAAAUACACCCUCCCUUCGGGGCCUGUAUGCAGGUGCUGCAUGGCUGUCGUCAGCUCGUGUCGUGAGAUGUUGGGUUAAGUCCCGCAACGAGCGCAACCCUCGUCCUUAGUUGCUAGCGAAUAAUGUCGAGCACUCUAAGGAGACUGCCGGUGAUAAGCCGGAGGAAGGUGGGGAUGACGUCAAGUCCGCAUGCCCCUUACGCUCUGGGCUACACACGUGCUACAAUGGUCGUGACAAAGAGUUGCUAGUCUGCGAAGGCAAGCCAAUCUCAUAAACGCGGCCUU
rnacentral:rRNA from 1 species